rnacentral:tRNA from 1 species
GCCCCCGUACCCCAACGGUUAGAGGGAGGAGACUUAAAAUCUCCCCAGUGUGGGUUCGAAUCCCACCGGGGGCA